rnacentral:lncRNA from 1 species
UGAGUCUGAUGUGAAACCUUAAUGAAAAACUCUUUUCCAUUAUUUUACUCUGCCAUGGCCAUGGGCUUAAGGACUUGAUCUUUCGAUCAUCAUAGGACUACUCCUCUCAUCUACCGAGGUUGAUAGAUCCCUUCUUGGUGCGAUCUGGUUCCUACAAUGAAUAUGCUACAGCCAACAUACACCUCAAGAUUCUGAAUGGCUAGGAGAUCGAGUUAUGGUAUAGUCAAAUUAUAACACACUUAAGGUGAACUAUCGAUGUACCUCAGGUUAAAGAACUAGACACACAGCUGCAGCAUCGAGCUAGUCAUCGACGAGAAGGUAGACUUUCUUAUGACUACUCGAGG